CGGGAGAAGGUACGCUGCCGAUGGUGAGUAGUCACGCACUACAAAGCUAUUGGCAGUCGCAGAUACCAGGCCGCUGCAACUGUUUAUUAAAAACACAGCACUCUGCAAACACGAAAGUGGACGUAUAGGGUGUGACGCCUGCCCGGUGCUGGAAGGUUAAUUGAUGGGGUCAGCCGCAAGGCGAAGCUCUUGAUCGAAGCCCCAGUAAACGGCGGCCGUAACUAUAACGGUCCUAAGGUAGCGAAAUUCCUUGUCGGGUAAGUUCCGACCUGCACGAAUGGCAUAAUGAUGGCGGCGCUGUCUCCAGCAGAGACUCAGUGAAAUCGAAAUCGCAGUGAAGAUGCUGUGUACCCGCGGCUAGACGGAAAGACCCCGUGAACCUUUACUACAGCUUUACAUUGAACUUUGACCUUACCUG
rnacentral:rRNA from 1 species